rnacentral:misc_RNA from 1 species
CUGAAAUCUGUAGGAAUGCCCAAAUUACAACACGAAAUAACAUUUGACAAAAUAUAUAAUCCUCUACGUAUACAACAGAAAUGGAGGACUCCCAAUUAGGAGAAACACGAGGAUGUCACACUACAAAUAAUGAUACACCAUAAUCAGCAAUAUUCAACAGAUGAUUCUCUGAGAAUUUCUACAAAGAAUAAUGCACAAACUCUAGUAAAUCUAACCAAAAUAAAACAACAGGAAAAUUUAAUUUCGAAUUGGAGCCCUU